rnacentral:rRNA from 1 species
GACGAACGCUGGCGGCGUGCCUAAUACAUGCAAGUAGAACGCAGUUGCGAACGGGUGAGUAACGCGUAGGUAACUGCCUGGUAGCGGGGGAUAACUAUUGGAAACGAUAGCUAAUACCGCAUACUACCAGAUGGACCUGCGUUGUAUUAGCUAGUUGGUGGGGUAACGGCUCACCAAGGCAACGAUACAUAGCCGACCUGAGAGGGUUAGCGGCGAAACUGGUACUGAAACACGGCGCAUAUUCCUCCGGGAGGCACCAGAAGGGAAUCGUCGGCAAUGGACGAAAGUCGGACCGAGAAACGCGGAGUGAGUGAAGAAGGUUUUCGGAUCGUAAACCUCUGUUGUUAGAGAAGCGGUACCUAACCAAAAAGCCACGUCUAACUACGUGCCAGCAGCCGCGGUAACAC